rnacentral:rRNA from 1 species
CUGGCGGCAGGCUUAAUACAUGCAAGUCGAACGGUAACAUGUCGGAGCAAUCUGAUGAUGACGAGUGGCGCACGGGUGCGUAACGCGUAUGCAACCUACCCAUAACCGGAACAUAACGUUGAGAAAUCGGCGCUAAUAUUCCAUGUGUAUAUUUUGUGGCAUCAUAGGAUAUAUAAAGAUUAAUUGGUUAUGGAUGGGCAUGCGUAUCAUUAGCUAGUUGGUAGGGUAACGGCCUACCAAGGCUGCGAUGAUUAGGGGUUCUGAGAGGAUAACCCCCCACACUGGAACUGAGACACGGUCCAGACUCCUACGGGAGGCAGCAGUAGGGAAUAUUGGGCAAUGGAGGCAACUCUGACCCAGCCAUGCCGCGUGAAGGAAGACGGUCCCUAUGGAUUGUAAACUUCUUUUAUCAUAGAGUAACCGCAGGGACGUGUCCCUGCCUGCAAGUAUAUGAUGAAUAAGCAUCGGCUAACUCCGUGCCAGCAGCUGC